UUUUAAAUAUAAAUGUGUCCUAUGCAAUAUUUGGGACAUAUUUAUACUAAAA
rfam:Pan troglodytes isolate Yerkes chimp pedigree #C0471 (Clint) chromosome 14, whole genome shotgun sequence.